AAUGCUUAGAUAUCACGAAGAACUCCGAUUGCGAAGGCAGCUCACUGGACUGCAACUGACACUGAUGCUCGAAAGUGUGGGUAUCAAACAGGAUUAGAUACCCUGGUAGUCCACACAGUAAACGAUGAAUACUCGCUGUUUGCGAUAUACAGUAAGCGGCCAAGCGAAAGCAUUAAGUAUUCCACCUGGGGAGUACGCCGGCAACGGUGAAACUCAAAGGAAUUGACGGGGGCCCGCACAAGCGGAGGAACAUGUGGUUUAAUUCGAUGAUACGCGAGGAACCUUACCCGGGCUUAAAUUGCAUUUGAAUAAUCUGGAAACAGGUUAGCCGCAAGGCAAAUGUGAAGGUGCUGCAUGGUUGUCGUCAGCUCGUGCCGUGAGGUGUCGGCUUAAGUGCCAUAACGAGCGCAACCCUUAUCUUUAGUUACUAACAGGUCAUGCUGAGGACUCUAGAGAGACUGCCGUCGUAAGAUGUGAGGAAGGUGGGGAUGACGUCAAAUCAGCACGGCCCUUACGUCCGGGGCUACACACGUGUUACAAUGGGGGGUACAGAAGGCAGCUACCUGGUGACAGGAUGCUAAUCCCAAAAGCCUCUCUCAGUUCGGAUCGAAGUCUGCAACCCGACUUCGUGAAGCUGGAUUCGCUAGUAAUCGCGCAUCAGCCAUGGCGCGGUGAAUACGUUCCCGGGCCUUGUACACACCGCCCGUCAAGCCAUGAAAGCCGGGGGUACCUGAAGUACGUAACCGCAAGGAGCGUCCUAGGGUAAAACUGGUAAUUGGGGCUAAGUCGUAACAAGGUAACC
rnacentral:rRNA from 1 species